AUGUUAAGUCUUUUGGAAAGCAAAAAAUCAAAAUUUGAUGAUUUCUGAUGCAUUCAUUCAUCUUAUGCAUUUAAUUGUAGGAAAAAGAAACUGGAUAUCUAAUUAUUUCAAGAAACAACAAAGGAUCCUUGAAGGUUGUUUGGUCUUUUCCUCCAUUCGAAUCAAGGUUAAAGUGACCACAUGGCACUUUUUAAAGCCUUUGAAGGAUAGAAGGAUGCAAACCAUAAUGAAAGGAGUCCUGUCACUUUGCAAAUGAC